AUAAUUGUUAGCAAUACCCAUAUCUGACACAUGCGCGAAGAUGAGUAGAUGACCACGCCAAUAUAUUAGAUCAAAAAGUUAUUGGAAGUCAAGACAAAACUGCAUAGACAAAGUUCAGGAAACGAGCAAGAAGGUAGGAUUUCUUAGGCGGCUAUAGCUAACAACUGCGCGCCACGCUCUUUUCUUACCAAUUUCCUUUAUGCUGACUAUAUCGUUGACCAAAAUAAUUGGACACUGUUUGAACAAACCAUUGGGGAAUGAUCGUGUAUAAAUAGAUCCUUCGUAAAUGGUUACUCACACAUUCAUAUUCAUUCAAUCAUUGAAAAAAUGGCCUCAAUCUUAAAAGGAGGAAGACUUACCUUGGCUCUUAUCAUCCUCAUCGUCAUUAGUUCAUCAUCUCACAUCAUUACAACCACCGCCACUGCUCGGACUCCAUACAACCAUGAACGCCAACUAGCUACAAAUUGCGAUUAUGACCCCAUACAACAAAAUGAUGGACCCGACGGGUGUGGAAGUGGAAGUGGAAGUGGAAGUGGUGGAUCACCAAAACCAAAACCAAUACCAUGCGGUUCAAUGCCAGGUAAGAGCCUUUGUAGGAAGGGUUGCUGUGGAAAGACUAAAAUGGGAAGGGCCGAAUGUUGCUAGUAGUACCGGAGGUUGUACUACAUCAAAUAAUGUAUCUGAAUCCAUUGUCUAGAUCAGAAAAUAAUAUUUCAAAUCAUUUCCACCCUUUUUGACUGCUUUUACCUAAAGUCGUAUAUGUAUGAGUAUGUCCACAAUAAUUUUAUAUACAGAUGUUGUUCGAAA